rnacentral:rRNA from 1 species
UGGGGAAUAUUGGACAAUGGGCGGAAGCCUGAUCCAGCAACGCCGCGUGAGGGAUGACGGCCUUCGGGUUGUAAACCUCUUUCAGCACAGACGAAGCGCAAGUGACGGUAUGUGCAGAAGAAGGACCGGCCAACUACGUGCCAGCAGCCGCGGUAAUACGUAGGGUCCGAGCGUUGUCCGGAAUUAUUGGGCGUAAAGGGCUCGUAGGCGGUUUGUCGCGUCGGGAGUGAAAACACCGGGCUUAACUCGGUGCUUGCUUUCGAUACGGGCAGACUAGAGGCAUUCAGGGGAGAACGGAAUUCCUGGUGUAGCGGUGAAAUGCGCAGAUAUCAGGAGGAACACCGGUGGCGAAGGCGGUUCUCUGGGAAUGUCCUGACGCUGAGGAGCGAAAGUGUGGGGAGCGAACAGG